GGUCUGAGAGGGGAGGCAGAUCCAGGGGAGGGAUGUGGGUCACAGAGAGGAGGCAGGUCUAGGAGAGGGAUGUGGGUCUGAGAGGGGAGACAGAUUCAGGGAAGGGCCCUUGAUAUGACAGGGUCAGUUGUCGGAAGGGAGUGUGGGUGUGGCAGGGGUGGAGGGUUGCGAGUCUGAGAAGCAAAGGCUCUGAGGAAGAAUGAGAUGUGGGAUCUAGGAACUGAGGGCUUUUGAAGGGACCACGAGUCUGGAAGGGGCAGAGGUGUAGGUGUGAGAAUUGAGGACAAGUGGAGGAUGGUCUGAAGGUGUGUGAGAAGAGCAAAUGCAAAGAACAUGUGGGUCUGAGAGAGUCAACGCUUCUUGAAACUUUUUUCCACUGUUAAGAAUUGCUGAACACAAAAAGGAAGUUUCCUUUUCUUUCCUUUUUCUUGUAAAGCGCUGCUUUUACCAUUAGCAGUUACAACUCCCUCUUUGGACUUCCUCUUUGGUAAAGUUAGCGAUCAAAGAACAAGAUAGAAUGUGCAAGCUACAUUUGUCCUGUGUGUUCUGCAUGAAAAAAGAAGGGGGGGGUUCAUGUUUUCCUGUCCAUCUCACACGUUUCUUUACUGCAACUUUGAAAUCGUGCAAUAUUUGCAUAGCCCUCUUACAUGUGCUGAGACCAUUGUCCUCCACAGUGGAGGCAGGUUAGAGUAAUGGGCAUCUGUUGAAGAAGGGUGCGAGAGAGGAAGAGGAAGAUAAUGUAGUAAUACCUCUUUGUAAAGAAGCUAAAUGUUUAAAAAUUCGACCCUAGUGUCUUUAAAUGGACAGAUAGUCCCUUUGUAUCUUAAAAUUUCUGAAACACUUCUAAAUACAUUGACUAUCACACAGGAUUAAUUUUAGUCUGAUUUGGUCAAAUCAGUCAUUCUUCAAUGAAAGUAUGUCUAUUUGGCUUUAUAUUUUGGAGAGAGGGUCAAAGUGGUAUAUAUUUAUAUUUAUUUAUAUUUAUAUUACAUCUAGAGUAAAUUGUUUUGUUUGUUUUUCUUUUUUAUACAUGACCUGUUAUUGUUUGGAGAGCACUUUCAAAUAACUCUACAAGAGCUGUAGUAUAAUGGAAAGAUCACUAGUCUUAGAAAACCUGCUCAGGCCCUGCCAUUUAUUAGUUGUAUGACUUUGGCCAAGUUACUUAACCUCUCUGAACUUCACUUUCCUCAUUGAUUAAAUUGGGAUAGUCUUACAUCAAAGGAGGGUUAAAAUUAAGUGGGAUAAUGUGUGAAAGAAUCUGGACUGUUUGCUGAUCUUAAUAUUGAUAGCUAUGCUAUUUGUUGUCUACAAAUUUUAUACUCUACUUAAAAUUUACUACUUGUAUUGAACGGAGUUGAAUAUAGUCUAGGUUUUUUGUUUUGUUUUGCUUUUGCUUUUUAAAUUAAAAAUAUAGACCAGAGAUACCAGAGAGGUUUCAAUGUCUUGAACAG